AUGUCGCCCUCGCGCCCCUCUUUCCUUCCUUCGUCCGUCCGUCCGUCGGCCCCCCUCCCCCCACUCUCCCUCGACGGUUCCUCCUCCACGCCUCCUCUCCGACGGUUCCUCCUCCGCGCCUCCUCUCUCGCCAGCUCGGCCCCUACUCCAAUCGCGCGGAACCGCUGGCCUCCAUUGGUGCAGAUCCACGGGCCGCCGCGCAUCUCCGGCCGGCCGCCUUCACGCCGACGACGGGCGGGGGGACACACGGCUCUCCCCCAGUUCGCGGGGGGCUCUGGGCUCCCCGGCGUUGGCGUCGCGGCGAGCCACCACCACUCCGCCGACGAAGGCCCACCGCGCCUCUCUCCCUCAACUCGCGGCCGGCCCUCGCUCUCAUGCCUCGCGGGGUGUCUCUCCCCCAAUCUGUGGCUGGCACUCGCUCCUCGCGACUCCCGUGGCCCCUCCGUGGUGCCGCCGUCCACCGUGCCUCCCCGCCCCCAAUCCUCCGUCCCCGAUCGCGCGCCGCAACUUCUCCCUCCUCGACGGUUCCAAGCUCCUCGGGUGCGCUGGCCCACCCCAUCCGCUCGCCUCCGUAAUUGUCGCCGGCCUACCCAUCCACGCGCCGCUUCCCCCGCCACUACUCCAGCGAACUCCCUGUCAAAUCACGCCGUUCGUCAUCUAAUCAUGCCGCUCUAGGACUCGGCCUCGACGGCCUCCGGGGCAGAGCGCGUGCUGCUUGUCCUCUUCGUCGGCGACGCUUGCGCCCGGUGGCGGGAGCAACGUCGGCAGAGAAGUUGAGGUUGGCCCUGGGCCCGCCGAUGUCGCGUGCGGCGACUUCGUAGGCGAGCGCGGCAUUCUCGGCGGAGGAUAAUGUGCCGAGCCAGAUGGAGUGAUGUACUGGUCCAAGUUCCAAUCUUUUGCGCUCUUCCUCAACGUACCAGGGACAACGAUGGUGCCGGCGGGGGGCUGGAUCGAACUCCAUCGAUGAAAUUGCCCCCAUCCACGAUGCAGAAUUGCAGUUUCACCUGAUGUCGUGGGAGCUGCAGGAGCAACAUCCGGACAGCAAUCAGUCGCCAAACUCAUUGCAGCAAGGCUUAUGGCAACUGUGAAGAAGGGAAACCCUGACCUCAGGAAGGUGAUGCCAGCUGUCAUUAUGAGGCAGCGCAAGCCAUGGCUCCGAAAGGAUGGUGUUUACAUGUACUUUGAAGUUGCCAGUAUGCAUUCCGUUGAGAAAGAGGUGUACCUCAGCCCAAUGACAUCCUUGAACGAGCCAACCAGGUUCAUGUAAGUUACAAAUAAUUUUAGAUUGACCGAAGUAAAUAUUUUGAUAAUAUUGACAUUGCAGGUGGGUAGGGUUCCUUGAUAUCAAAAUAGCCCACACCUUUAAUAAAUGGGAUGUCAGUGCAAGGGUGUUAUGAAAUGGUAAUUUACGAGAGAAUAAUGAAGACGUACUAAAAAAACUUGACAUGCGGGGGGUGAGACCGCCCCCACGGCAUUGUUUGAGAGGUAGAAUGACCUUCUCACAGCAGGCCAAGAAAACCCCCGGACCCCUGCCCCACCCGUACACGAGGGCAUGUCGCCUUGUGAGUUAGGCCGGGCUCCACAGUGCUUUGGACGUGGGACAAGCGAGGGAGUUUUUUUAACCCCAGAGCCCCCAAAACUGAAAUUCGCCCCCGAGGGGGGUCGAACCCAGGACCUCUGGGGAGUGCCUCCAGCGAUGCUACCACUACAAUAGCAGGCCUUUGGCUAAUGAAGACGUACUUGCACGUUGUCUUGGUGGAUGAGCAGGGUACCAAAAUUCCAAAAUGGAAGCAGUUGCAUGCGGUGACCACUCCAUUGCUCGUUGAAAGAGAAACAUAUGACUUCUUUAGAGUGGGCUUUUCGUCAACUUUUGGUGAUCCCUUGGCCCAUAUUUUAUGUAUAUUGUUUAGAUUACUUUGUCUUUCUCAGGCAGUGAGAGAAUACAUUGAUUGUUGACGUCAAAAGCGAAUAUAAAAUAUUAUCCUAGCCGCAUCAUUGACAAGAAUAUAAAAUAGAUAAGAGUAUUUACUUUGUGCAAACGUAAAUAUGAUGAUGUAUUUACGAGUUUGAUGGAUCUUAAUAUAUUUGGGACGGCAAUGUUUGCUCAAUGAUUA